rnacentral:rRNA from 1 species
AGAGAGAGACAUGCGCGCAUAUCAAUAAGCGGAGGAAAAGAAACUAACUAGGAUUCCCUUAGUAACGGCGAGUGAAGCGGGAAGAGCUCAAAUUUGAAAUCUUCAAGGUUUUACCUUGACGAAUUGUAGUUUAAAGAAGUGUUUUCUGCUGAAGUUUUGGUAAAAGUUCUUUGGAAUAGGACAUCAUAGAGGGUGAGAAUCCCGUAUUUGACCAUUAUUUUCAGCUUUGUGAUACACUUUCAAAGAGUCGGAUUGUUUGGGAAUGCAGUCCAAAAUGGGUGGUAAAUUUCAUCUAAAGCUAAAUAUUGGCGAGAGACCGAUAGCGAAACAAGUACCGUGAGGGAAAGAUGAAAAGAACUUUGAAAAGAGAGUUAAACAGUACGUGAAAUUGUCAAAAGGGAAGCGUUUGACACCAGUGUUGUUUUCUCGAAAAAUCAAUUAAAAAUGGCUCGAUUUUGUAUUGUUGAGACCUUAAAAGCUCACUGUACAUUUUUCGUGUCUUUUUUAAUGCACUUUUCGUUUAACAAGUCAACAUCAGUUUCUUUUGUUGUAAAAGGGUCAUUGGAAGGUGGCUUUCUUUUCGGAGAAAGUGUUUAUAGCCUUUGGCCUCUGCAAUCGGAAGAGACUGAGGUCUGCAGCGUAGACUCUUCGGGGUUAGAUACAUUUGUGCUAAGUUAUAGCUUUUUAUAGACAACUUGUUGACUAUAAUUAGUCUUGUAGCUUACUCGCUUAUGCUAUUUUACCUACGCUUAGGAUGUUGAAGUCAUCGUAUCGCGC